GACGAACGCUGGCGGCGUGCUUAACACAUGCAAGUCGAACGGAAAGGCCCUGCUUUUGUGGGGUGCUCGAGUGGCGAACGGGUGAGUAACACGUGAGUAACCUGCCCUUGACUUUGGGAUAACUUCAGGAAACUGGUGCUAAUACCGGAUAGGAGCUCCUGCUGCAUGGUGGGGGUUGGAAAGUUUCGGCGGUUGGGGAUGGACUCGCGGCUUAUCAGCUUGUUGGUGGGGUAGUGGAAUACCAAGGCAUUGCCGGGUAGCCGGCCUGAGAUGGUGACCGGCCACAUCGGGACUGGGAUGCGGCACAGACUCCUCUGGGAGGCAGCGGAGGAGAAUAUUGCACUAUGGGAGGAAGCCUGAUGCAGCAACGCCGCGUGCGGGAUGACGGCCUUCGGGUUGUAAACCGCUUUCGCCUGUGACGAAGCGUGAGUGACGGUACUGGGUAAAGAAGCACCGGCUAACUACGUG
rnacentral:rRNA from 1 species